rnacentral:rRNA from 1 species
CUACGGAGGAUGCAAGCGUUAUCCGGAUUUAUUGGGUUUAACGGGUGCGUAGGCGGAUGAUUAAGCGUGAGGUGAAAUGCCACUGCUCAACAGUGGAACUGCCUCGCGAACUGGUUGUCUUGAAUGCUCCUGCCGUGGGAGGAAUGUGUGGUGUAGCGGUGAAAUGCAUAGAGAUCACACAGAACACCGAUUGCGAAGGCAUCUCACGAAGGGGUGAUUGACGCUGAGGCACGAAAGCGUGGGGAUCAAACAGGAUUAGAUACCCUGGUAGUCCACGCAGUAAACGAUGAUAACUAACCGCUGGUCGUAGUGAUUCAGUGGCCAAGCGAAAGCGAUAAGUUAUCCACCUGGGGAGUACGACCGCAAGGUUGAAACUUAAAGGAAUUGACGGGG